rnacentral:rRNA from 1 species
CAAUAGCGUAUAUUAAAGUUGUUGCAGUUAAAAAGCUCGUAGUUGGAUUUGUGGCGUACGGUGUGUUCCGGGCACUUGUUGUCUGAGUAACCUGCUGUUGCCAUCCUUGGGUGGAACCUGUGUGGCAUUAGGUUGUCGUGCAGGGGAUGCCCAUCAUUUACUGUGAAAAAAUUAGAGUGUUCAAAGCAGGCUUAUGCCGUUGAAUAUAUUAGCAUGGAAUAAUGAGAUAGGACUUUUUUGCUAUUUUGUUGGUUUGCGUAAAGAGGUAAUGAUUAAUAGGGACAGUUGGGGGUAUUCGUAUUCCAUAGUCAGAGGUGAAAUUCUUGGAUUUUUGGAAGACGAACUACUGCGAAAGCAUUUACCAAGGAUGUUUUCAUUAA